AUGUUGGCUAUGUCAGGAGCACAAGCAAUCCAUGAGUGUAGAGUAGCCCAGUGUCCUGUGGGAAGAAAGCUGAUUUGUUUCUUAUGUUGGCAGGCGAAGCAGGUGCAGAAGUGCGUGGAGGCACUGGACAUGCUCAAGGUGUCGAACGCACGGCUGCAGAUGGUGGUGGUGACCACCAAGUGGGAGACGUUUGACAACAGCCCCCCGGUCACCACCAAGUGGGAGAUCUUCAACUGA
rnacentral:rRNA from 1 species